rnacentral:rRNA from 1 species
GGUAAUACGGAGGGUGCGAGCGUUAAUCGGAAUAACUGGGCGUAAAGGGCACGCAGGCGGUUAUUUAAGUGAGGUGUGAAAGCCCCGGGCUUAACCUGGGAAUUGCAUUUCAUACUGGGUCGCUAGAGUACUUUAGGGAGGGGUAGAAUUCCACGUGUAGCGGUGAAAUGCGUAGAGAUGUGGAGGAAUACCGAAGGCGAAGGCAGCCCCUUGGGAAUGUACUGACGCUCAUGUGCGAAAGCGUGGGGAGCAAACAGGAUUAGAUACCCUGGUAGUCCACGCUGUAAACGAUGUCGAUUUGGGGAUUGGGCUUUGAGCUUGGUGCCCGUAGCUAACGUGAUAAAUCGACCGCCUGGGGAGUACGGCCGCAAGGUUAAAACUCAAAUGAAUUGACGGGGGCCCGCACAAGCGGUGGAGCAUGUGGUUUAAUUCGAUGCAACGCGAAGAACCUUACC